rnacentral:rRNA from 1 species
UACAGAGGCCCCGAGCGUUACUGAGAAUCACUGGGUUUAAAGGGUGACGUAGGUGGUCCGUUAAGUUUCGUUGUGAAAGCCCUGGGCUCAACCCAGGAACUGCUUCGAAUACUGGCGGACUUGAGGCUAGUAGGGGUUACUGGAACGUGACGGUGGAGCGGUGAAAUGCGUAGAUAUCGUCAGGAACGCCAAUGGUGAAGACAGGUAACUGGGCUAGUUCUGACACUGAGGCACGAAAGCGUGGGGGAAGCGAACGGGGAUUA